GAUGAACGCUGGCGGCGUGCCUAACACAUGCAAGUCGAGCGAUCUUCUUCGGAAGAGAGCGGCGGACGGGUGAGUAACGCGUGGGUAACCUGCCCUGUACACACGGAUAACAUACCGAAAGGUAUGCUAAUACGAGAUAAUAUACUUUUAUCGCAUGGUAGAAGUAUCAAAGCUCUGGCGGUACAGGAUGGACCCGCGUCUGAUUAGCUAGUUGGUAAGGUAACGGCUUACCAAGGCGACGAUCAGUAGCCGACCUGAGAGGGUGAUCGGCCUCCUUGGAACGUGGACACGGUCCAAACACCUACGGGAGGCAGCAGUGGUGAAUAUUGCACAAUGGGCGAAAGCCUGAUGCAGCAACGCCGCGUGAGCGAUGAAGGCCUUCGGGUCGUAAAGCUCUGUCCUCAAGGAAGAUAAUGACGGUACUUGAGGAGGAAGCCCCGGCUAACUACGUGCCAGCCGCCGCAGUAA
rnacentral:rRNA from 1 species